GAUGAACGCUGGCGGCGUGCCUAACACAUGCAAGUCGAACGAAGCGCCUUUUAAGAUUCUUCGGAUGAUUGAUUGGUGACUGAGUGGCGGACGGGUGAGUAACGCGUGGGUAACCUGCCCUGUACAGGGGGAUAACAGUUGGAAACGGCUGCUAAUACCGCAUAAGCGCACGAGAGAACAGCCUCUUGUGUGAAAAACUCCGGUGGUACAGGAUGGGCCCGCGUCUGAUUAGCUGGUUGGCAGGGUAACGGCCUACCAAGGCGACGAUCAGUAGCCGGUCUGAGAGGAUGAACGGCCACAUUGGAACUGAGACACGGUCCAAACUCCUACGGGAGGCAGCAGUGGGGAAUAUUGCACAAUGGGGGAAACCCUGAUGCAGCAACGCCGCGUGAGUGAAGAAGUAUUUCGGUAUGUAAAGCUCUAUCAGCAGGGAAGAUAAUGACGGUACCUGACUAAGAAGCUCCGGCUAAAUACGUGCCAGCCGCCGCCGUAA
rnacentral:rRNA from 1 species